CAUCAUUCAUUGCUGAGGCUGUGAUUGAACAUGUAGCGUCUACCCUUUCAAUGGAAGUGGAUUUUGUCAGAAGUAUCAAUCUCCAUACUCGCAACAGCCUUAAUUUGUUUUAUGAGAGUAGUGCAGGUGAACAUGCGGAGUACACAAUACCUUUAAUGUGGGAUAAAUUGGCCGUUUCCUCAAGCUUCAACCAAAGAACUGAAAUGAUAAAAGAGUUUAACAGGUCUAAUUUAUGGCAAAAAAGGGGCAUUUGUCGUGUACCUAUUGUGCAUGAAAUGUUUGUUAAGUCAUCCCCUGGGAAAGUAAGCAUUCUAAGUGAUGGGUCUAUUGUUGUUGAAGUUGGAGGGAUUGAGUUAGGCCAGGGACUUUGGACAAAGGUGAAGCAGAUGGCUGCAUUUGCACUCAGUUCUGUCCAAGGUGGUGAAUUGGGUGAUCUAUUGGAUAAAGUACGGGUUGUACAAUCUGAUACCUUGAGUCUAAUUCAGGGUGGAAUCACUUCUGGGAGCACCACAUCUGAGUCCAGCUGUGAAGCAGUUCGACUAUGUUGCAAUGUUUUAGUCGAGAGACUGUCUGCUCUCAGGGGAAGGUUGCUGGAGAGAAUGGGUUCUGUAAAUUGGGAGACAUUGAUUCAGCAGGUAGCUGUCUGCUCUUCUAAAGCACUCUAGCUAAGUUCACUUUCUGUUUCUCAACUUCAUUUUGUAUGUUGACUCUCUUAUUUUUUUUUUUUUUUUUUUACGCACUGUGUAUUCUCAGUAAGCAUUCUAAGUGAUGGGUCUAUUGUUGUUGAAGUUGGAGGGAUUGAGUUAGGCCAGGGACUUUGGACAAAGGUGAAGCAGAUGGCUGCAUUUGCACUCAGUUCUGUCCAAGGUGGUGAAUUGGGUGAUCUAUUGGAUAAAGUACGGGUUGUACAAUCUGAUACCUUGAGUCUAAUUCAGGGUGGAAUCACUUCUGGGAGCACCACAUCUGAGUCCAGCUGUGAAGCAGUUCGACUAUGUUGCAAUGUUUUAGUCGAGAGACUGUCUGCUCUCAGGGGAAGGUUGCUGGAGAGAAUGGGUUCUGUAAAUUGGGAGACAUUGAUUCAGCAGGUAGCUGUCUGCUCUUCUAAAGCACUCUAGCUAAGUUCACUUUCUGUUUCUCAACUUCAUUUUGUAUGUUGACUCUCUUAUUUUUUUUUUUUUUUUUUUCACGCACUGUGUAUUCUCAUUCUUUAUAGGUUAUUUAUAAUUCUAUAUGGUAUUUAGUUUACAUUAACAGAAUUUUGGCAUCUAUUAUUAAGGAGGUUAUGAAGAAGAAUAAAGUUUUUUUUUUUUUAUGGUUGAGAAAACAAAAUUGGCUAUGAUGAAUAUAAAAUUGUGUUUCCGUGUUAUUAAUAUCUAACCAUGUUUAUGAUGAACUUAUAUAUGUGUCUCUUAGGUAUUGAUAAUUAACCAUAUUUCAAGGACACAUCUAUGAUUGUUUGUCUAAAAUUAUUGUUAAUUUGUUUAUUUAAUGUUUGUUUAUUUAAUGUUUGUUUAUUUUGUAAGCUUGUGUCUCACAUACAAUCAUCUUCAUGCAGUAAUCUGCGAAAAUUGAAGUAAUAUAUAACCAUAAAUAGGUUCGUGGUUGUCAUUUUAUAUUCAUCAGUUUUUGUCCCUAGAACUAAUUUGGCAGAUGAGUGUAACUGUUGAAUUCAAUAAUUUUUGCAAUUUUCUUCCUCUUUUAUUAAAUACAGAGGGUUUUAUACCUUGCAGGCACAUAUGCAAUCUGUGAACUUAUCAGCAAGUUCUUUGUAUGUACCUGACUCAACUUCCAUCCACUACCUAAUCUAUGGUGCUGCAGUGAGCGAGGCAAGAUUCUCUACCUUUCAUGGAAGGGUGCUUAUGUUGCAGUUCAAAUAAUGUUCCUGCAAAGUACACUUGAAGCUGCCCUUUGGGCAUGAUAUAUGUACCUAGUGUACUACCUUACUGGGGAUAUCUCUUUCAUUUUUAUUUAUAAAUAUAUUUCUGUUCUCAGGUGGAAGUAAACCUUCUGACAGGAGAAACCACAAUUCUGCGAGCAGAUAUUAUUUAUGACUGUGGACAAAGCCUUAACCCUGCUGUUGAUUUAGGACAGGUCAGACGAAAAACUGUGUUUCUCAACUCUACUUAAUUGCCAUUAUAAUGAAGCUUUAGAGUUCCUUGAUGUGAAGAUUUCAGUAAGAUAGUGUUUACUUGUUAUAGAUAGACCUAAGCUUCUGUUUUUGAAUAUGCUGAGGGUAGUAGGACCGUCAAUGGAUGCCUUUGAUUGAUUAACACAGACUUAUUUUGUUCAAGAAUUAAUAGUUGCAUUUGGCAGAUUGAAGGAGCUUUUGUUCAAGGAAUUGGUUUUUUCAUGCUUGAAGAAUACCCUACAAAUUCAGAUGGAUUAGUUGUUUCUGAAGGCACAUGGACUUACAAGAUCCCUACUAUCGACACCAUACCCAAACAGUUUAAUGUUGAAAUACUGAACAGUGGGCAUCACCAAAAACGUGUACUCUCUUCGAAAGGUAAUGUAAAUGUGUCUCUGACUGAGUUCUCUAGGAUAUAUGAUAGUAGCAUUACUUAAAGAUGUCAGCUUCAAUCUGUGACUUGUGCAGCGUCUGGUGAACCACCAUUGCUUCUGGCAGUUUCAGUGCACUGUGCUACAAGAGCAGCCAUUCGAGAAGCUCGGAAACAGCUUCUUACAUGGAGUGACUUAGACAGGUCUGAUAUAACAUUCAAUUUGGAGGUUCCGGCCACCAUGCCGGUAGUGAAGGAGCUCUGUGGACUGGACAGUGUAGAGAGGUACUUACAGUGGAGAAUGGCAAAGGGAUAGCUGUGCACAAAAAAUUGGAUUGGUCCAAGAGUAGAAUCUCUAUUUGCACCCUCAAAUAAUCUUUUUCAUUGCCAUCUUUCGAAUUACAGGACAUUUUAUAUUGGAAGUUACACAACAUUACAGGCCUGUCCAGGUGAAUUAUAACAGGCUGGGGUGUAAUAAUGUUGAUCUGUUUACCAUUUCAAAAUGCCAGUGUGCAUUGGAACAAAUAUUUGGAAGCUGCAUCAACUACAAGUAUUAUUGCAAUGAAUUGGUAAAAGUCUGCACAGGUAAAUUCUUAAAAUCACUUUGUACAACAUCUGUGAGAGUCCAUUUGAGCUCUCCUUGGAUAUGUGAUUGCAUUUGGGAGACUAAUGAGUUGUUGCCAUGUGUAUAUGAUAGUUGUUGAUUCUGAAUUUCUGAUCUGAAAAAGAAUAGUGUAGUAGUGUGGAAGAAAAUGUAACAACAAAUGUUUUUUUUCUUCUUUUUUUCCCCCAUUUUCCAUCAAGUUUGGUGCAAAGAAAUUAAUAUCUACUCAAUCCUGGUACGAUUGCUUGGAGUUGCGAACACACGGUAAUUUCAAAAGAAAACUUAUCUUGGGACAAUGAUCAUAAAAUUAUCAAUAUAUUGGCAGAGUUUUAAUAGAGCCACAAAUUCUUUGGAGAGUUGUAAAGUACUAUUUAAAGAUGAUAAAGUUCGGGUCCAAGCUUGGGUAUAGCAAUGUUUGGACUCGGGUUGAGCAACAUAAAGCCACUACUGGACUAGGUUUUUUAAUCUGAGUUUUUUAAGUUUGGAUUUUAUAUUUUAUAAUAUUAUAUAUGUAUAUUUUUAAUUUAUUUUAUAAUUUUUAAAAUUUUAAAUUUAUUUAAUGAAAUUGGAAAUGAAAAUAUGAACUUUAAAUAUUUAAUGUUUUAAAUAUAUAUAAUAUAUAGGUCAAGUAAAUAUAAUUAUUUAAAAUAAUAUAUCUUUUGUAAUAUCUUUUAAUGAAAUCCGGGUUCCGGCCUAGACCCUGCGCUUAUCAAGUGAUGUCUGGGAUCGGUCUAGCCUCAUCCCGAGUUGGGUAUUACUGGCCUGCAUCUCUUGGGUCCGGGUAUAGUCCAAGCCGGGCAAGUAUUUUUAAUAUCCCUAGUACUGUUAUUGGUUGGAUGAAAACGAUAAAUAACGAAAAUAAAUAAUGUGCGUAAUGUGGUGUUUUUACCCAAUCAAUAAUAUUAUUUCUUAUCAAUUUGUACUUUUAUACAAAUAAUUUUUGUGAUUCUAAAAUUAGAUAGUCUCUGAGCAAGGACUCAAUUCGGACCGAAUCAAAUUAAAAAUUCUAUUUAGCUCAAUUUAGGCCAAACUAAAAAUAUAAUUUCAAUGUCGGGUUUCCUUUUAAAAAAAAAGUAAAAAGUUUUUUAAUUUUAAUAAAAUCAAAUAUUUCAAUUUUGUUAGAAUAUAUAUUAGCAUUUAGAGUAUGAAAUCCAUGCAGGCAACUCAAUGUUGGGAGAGGGAAAAAAAAAAUUAAAGCUACUGUUUCUACAUUUAGGUGCAAAAUUUGAGAAAGAAAAAUCUCAAAUACAGACAAACGCUUAUUAAUAUUUUAGCAAAACAAAAAGGACUUACGCAACUUAAUAAAAAAGUAGGUAAGAUUUUUGUUUGUAACUUUGCUUUUGGACAUGGUCAAAAUCAACAUCAUGUUACAUAAUAAUACACAUUACAAGAUUUUUGACUGCUAUUAAGCUUAACCAAAUUAACAUUAUAGCCUCAAUGGUGUCGUAGUCCAUUGGCAACUCAUGCACUCAAUAAUUUCUAACGCAUAAGUUCAAGUCCCAACUAUUAUGAUAGGACUUGACUCCCUUAUGAUAGGAGUUUAUUUGACUCUCCGCUUUGAAAAUACAAUUAAUUUCCCUCCAAUAUUAAGUGAAGGUCGUUAUUCGGGCUGUUCUACACUAGAAUCAUGAAGGAGAGUCUCAAUUAUAAUUUGGUUGUAAAUAUCAGUAGAGUUUUAUUUGUAAUAUAUCGAUAUUUCAAAACAAAAAAAAUCAACAUCAUAACUUAUCCCUUAUGAUAGGAGUUUAUUUAGCUCCCUGCUUUGGGGAUAAAAUCAAUUUCCCUCCAAUAUUAAGUGAGGGUGGUUGUUCGAGCUGUGCCACACUAGAAUCAUGAAGGAGAGUCUCAAUUGUUAUUUGAUUGUAAAUAUCAGUAGAGUUCUAAUUGUAAUAUAUCGAUAUUUCAAAAAAAAAGAAAUCAACACCAUAGCUUAUCCCUUAUGAUAGGAGUUUAUUAAAAAAAAAAAAUCAACAUCAUAGCUUAUCCCUUAUGAUAGGAGUUUAUUAAAAAAAAAAAAUCAACAUCAUAGCUUAUCCCUUAUGAUAGGAGUUUAUUAAAAAAAAAAAAUCAACAUCAUAGCUUAUCCCUUAUGAUAGGAGUUUAUUAAAAAAAAAAAAUCAACAUCAUAGCUUAUCCCUUAUGAUAGGAGUUUAUUAAAAAAAAAAAAUCAACAUCAUAGCUUAUCCCUUAUGAUAGGAGUUUAUUAAAAAAAAAAAAUCAACAUCAUAGCUUAUCCCUUAUGAUAGGAGUUUAUUAAAAAAAAAAAAUCAACAUCAUAGCUUAUCCCUUAUGAUAGGAGUUUAUUAAAAAAAAAAAAUCAACAUCAUAGCUUAUCCCUUAUGAUAGGAGUUUAUUAAAAAAAAAAAAUCAACAUCAUAGCUUAUCCCUUAUGAUAGGAGUUUAUUUGGCUCACCGCUUUGGGGAUAAAAUCAAUUUCCCUCCAAUAUUAAGUGAGGAUCGUUCUUCGGGCUAUGCCACACUAUAAUUAUGAAGGAGAGUCCCAAUUGUUAUAUGAUUAUAAAUAUCAGUAGAGUUCUAAUUGUAAUAUAUCAGUAUUUCAAAAAAAAAAAUUAAAAGGAAUUUAGAUAUAUCGCAAAUAGACGUAAGCAAUUAAAAACUAAAAAUUAACAACUUAAUUAAUUUUCGAAAAUAUUGUUCACGGUUACUGUUCAUCCGCAUAAAAAAAUAUUAAUUUUCCAAAAACACAAUCAAUUGCAGAAAAUAAAUUAUAUGGAGAUUUUUGUCUUGCUUGUCUCCCAAUAAAUAUCUAGAGCAUUUAAUGAACUUACUGUUUGAACAAACUUCUUGCUCUAAAUAGAUCUCAUGCGCCAAUUAUAGAAUCCUAUCAUUAAUAGACUUUUUAAAUUAGACAUAUAAUUAAAUUAGGAAACAAAUAUUCCUAAUAAAUUGGAAUCUCACUAAAUUAGGAAUUAAUAAAUUAAUCAUUAUUACAAGAUAUACAAUAAAUAAAAUUCCAAUUUAACUAGACUUGCCAUAAAAUGUCAACUCUAUAAAUAAUGGACUUAACAAAAAUCAACAUUAUAGCUUAGACAAAAGAUUUCUGGUCAUCUGGCAGAGCUCCUUUUUCUUUUUUUCUUUUUUACUUUAAUUUUAUUUGGUAUUAAUAGCAAUCAAAAUGGAAUAUUCUUUUUAAUGGAAUAUUAAGCACUAUAUUUUUUAAAACUGGUCAUAUCUUCUUUAAUACUAUUUGAAUUUAGUAUUAAGUCAAAUUUUCUUUUAAAACUUUGUAUAAUAUUAUCUUUGGUAGUUAGUAAAAAAAAAGUAAUUAAAUCUUAAUAUUAUGAGCAGGGCGAGCUUGGUUGGGUUAGGUUAAAUAAGUGUUGUGAAAAUUUAACCCAAUUCAUUAUUGAUUUGGUUAGAAAAAUAAACACAAGUUAAUCAAAUAAAAAUAUCUAAUUUUACCUUUAAAUCAUCGAGUUGAGUUGAAUUGGGUUGAUCGAGUUGAUUGAGUUGAUUAAAAUAAAAAUUAAAAAAUCAAAAUAUAAAAAAACCAGAACUAAAAUUAUUUGGUACUAAAAAUCAAAUUCAAAUAGGAAAAAACAUAUUAAUUCUCCAUCAUAACACUAAAUGUUGUCCAUUCUACCCAACAUCUAUCAAUAAACAAAGCAACAAAAUAAAGAGAAAAUUUAGGUUUGAUUUCUAAAUUUUGCGUCUAGAAAAUUUGAUUAAUGUCAUGUUUAACAAAGAGAAAUUGAAAAGAGUUUCUUUUAUAAAAGAAUAAAAACGGCUCAAAAUUAGGCUUAAUAAUUUAGGGUUUAACAGUCGAUAGUUGAAAUUGAUUUUUCUAUGCUUUUUAUUAUUUUUGAAUUGGGUUGGAUGAUACAGGUUCAUGUUAAUGAAUUCAAUCUAAUCCAAUCAUUAAAUGGUUGAAAAAUGGUGAUUGACUUAUUUUGACUGUUAUUAAGCUUAACCAAAUCAACAUCAUAGCUUAAACAAAAAGAUUUCUGGUAAUAUGGCACAACUCUUUUUUGUUUUAACUUUUAAUUUUAUUUUGCCAUUAAUUAGCUGUCAAAAUAGAAUAUUCUUUUUAAUGGAACAUUAAGUACUAAACUUUUUUUAAUAAUUAGGAUUUGAAUUUAGUGUUGAGUUGAGUUUUAUUUUAAACUUUGUAUAAUAUUGUGAUUGGUACCUAUGAAAAAUUAAAACAAGUGAUUCAAUUUUAAUGUUAUGAGUAGGAGUGGGCUUGAGUUGGGUCGGAUGCGUAUUGUGAAAAUCUAAUUCAUAAAUUAUUGGGUUGGGUUGGAUUCAAUUGAUUGGACUGAUUAGAUGGAUUAAAAUUAAAAAAUAAAAAAAUAAAAAGAUAGAAAAAAGUUAAAAGAAGUUAUUGGGUAUUUAAAAUUAAAUUCAAAUAAGAAAAAAAUACAUUAAUUCUCCAUUAUAACAUUAAAUGUUGUCCAUUCCACCCAACAUCUAUCAAUAAACAUAGUAACAAAAAGAAAGAUUGUAUAAAAAAUUAUAUGACGUAACAUUUGAAAAUCUAUCAAUUUACUAUUAGUGAAAAUUCAGGUUUGAUUUCUGAAUUUUGAGUAUAGAAAAUUUAUUCGAUGUUAUGUUUAAUACAGAGAAACUGAAAAAGAAUCUAUAAAAGAAUAAAAACGAUUCAAAAUUAAGUUUUGUCAUUUAAGUUUUAACAGUUGAUGGUUGUCAUUAAUUUUUCUAUGAUUUUUAUUGUUUUUGGAUUAGAUUGGAUAAUAUGGGUUCGUGUUAAUGAACUCAACCUAAACCAUUCAUUAGCCACUCAGCCUGUGGCUGAGUGAUUAAAAUUGUUGUCCUCACAUAUGUGAGUGUGGCAGUUCGAGUCUCCACAUAACAUUGUGGGGGUUUAAUUCAUUCUAUAAUUAUUUCAUAAUUAUGUGAAGAUAAUUUUGUCUCACAAAAUAUGAAUACAGUAGACAUCUAUGAACAAAUGUAAAAUUUGGGUUGUGCUUAAUAAGAUUUAAAUGUAUAAUAGCUAAUUUCUUCCACAAUUAUUUCAUAAUUAUGUAGAUACAGUUCUUUUCUUACGAAAUAUAAGUGGAGUAAAUGUUCUCAAUAUUAGUGAGGGUACAAAUCUUGACAAUACUUAAUAAAAUUUAAAUAUAAUAUAGUUUUAAUAAUAGUCUGAUUUUAUAAAUAUUAGUGGCUAUUUGAUGUAAUAUCAGUAAUAAUCUGAUUGUAAUAUCAGUGUAAAAAAAAAACAAUAAUUAAUAAUGGUUGAAAAAAAUUUACUCAAUCAGUCCAUCUAAAUUCUAAAUUUACUUAGAUGAGGUUAAAUUGAAUUUGGUCCAUUGGAGUAUGUUGGACUUAUCCACCCCCUGAUUAUGAGAUCUCAAAAGAGUUCGCUUCAGUACUAAAAUCCAAAUUCCGUUAAUUAGCAUGUUUUCCGUGAUGAAUUCAAACGCAACAUGCUUCGUGUUCUUGAAACUUGUAAGUCAACAAAAAUUAGGAAAAUGAUAUGAUCAAUCCUAAUCAAUUUCAUUGGAAAUUGGGUGGAAUUUUCUUAACUCAAUUAAAAGUAUUUAAAAAAAAAAAAGUAACAGUCACUUUCUUCAUUAGCUUUUUAUUCCAAAAAAAGAAAAAGAAAAAGGAAAAAACAGUUAAAAGGAGCGGCAAUAUCUUCAAAUUAUUUAAUCCUCAUGUCCAUGCAUUCAGUGGCCACGUCAUUAAGGGACGAGGCCUAAAAAUUUAUAAAUAAUAUUUUUUUUUCUUUUUAAUUCAGUUAGAUAACAUUUAUUUAUUUUUUAUAUUUCGAAUCGAAAUAAAUUUAAAUUUAUCCGAAGUCCAUGUAUGUCUAGGAUCCACCUACGUUACAACAGUGGUACCAUACCACAGUUUUUGUCUUUAUUCAAUUGAGUCGUUGGAUGUUUUACUGGUCAAUCUAAUGGUUGAAAUUAAUUAUUAGAUAAUUGAUGCGGCAACCUGCAACCGUUGGAGCCGGUUGCGUUUUAACGUAAUGUAAUAUCAUUUGUGAGCUUGUGGUGAGAAAGUUUGUUGUACUGCAUCAAUGGAAAACAAAACUUCAAGCCAAUGAGGAAGAUGUGAAGAAACCCAGCAUAUAUACGUCACUGCAACAAUUAUUCAAUUUGAUUUUCAGAAUAAAAUAACAAAUUAAAUUGCAGCAUGAGAUAAAUUAAAGCUGCACAAGACGCCAUAAAAACAGAGAACAGAGCUCUUAUGCUCGCAUAUAUCUCACUAUUAGCCAAAGCGCUGUCUAUCCAUAUUUGACAUGAGAGCUCAACGGUAACAUAAUACAGAAUUUGAUGGAUAGUUGACCGGUCAGACUUUGUCAAAGAUCGUUUUGUAAUUAAUUUCGUAUGUUGUACGGAUCCACCUACGUUACAACAGUGGUACCAUACCACAGUUUUUGUCUUUAUUCAAUUGAGUCGUUGGAUGUUUUAUUGGUCAAAUCUAAUGGUUGAAAUUAAUUAUUAGAUAAUUGAUGCGGCAACCUGCAACCGUUGGAGCCGGUUGCGUUUUAAUGUAAUGUAAUAUCAUUUGCGAGCUUGUGGUGAGAAAGUUUGUUGUACUGCAUCAAUGGAACUGAUUUCAUCUCAAAUCGAUCUGGAGACAGCAAAAUAAGACAAAAAAUUGGAAUUAGGGUUUAGUUAUGUUUGUCGCAAUUAAAAAUUUCUGAUGACUCGUAAUGUGAAUAUGGCGUGUGUCUUGUAGGCAAUCGACGGCGAAAUUAUAAUCAACAAGGCAAAGGGCAAUCGGAAGUCGGUGCUGAAUUUUUAGGCAUAUAUGAAAUCAGAGAAGUGAGAUUGGUAACGAGGAGUCGUUGGUUAAUUUAAUUGCAACAAGCAUUGGAUUGAAGGAGGAAGAUGCAAUAAAAUUCUUGCAGAAUAAAUGAAGAUUGGCCCUGCAUAAGGAAAUCGAGAAACAAUGAGGGCAUAAGCUAGUGUAACUGUCCCAGCAAUAUAUGUUAUUUUCAUUUUUUUUCUUUCGUCUUCGUGAAUUAUGCAAGCGUGGAAGAACUUUUCAGUGAACAAAAUUUCAAGCCAAUGAGGAAGAUGUGAAGAAACCCAGCAUAUAUACGUCACUGCAACAAUUAUUCAAUUUGAUUUUCAGAAUAAAAUAACAAAUUAAAUUGCAGCAUGAGAUAAAUUAAAGCUGCACAAGACUAUAGAGCAAUGAACAAAUUAAAGAACUCCACCAUGAAAUGAUUUGAGAUAUCUUUUGAUGUUUGAUGAGAGAGAAAAUUUGGUCAGGAUUUAUGGAUAUAGAGAAAGAGGAGUGUUAGAAAAGAAAACGGUGCAGAAGAUUGUCCCUUCAUCCAUUUGGCCUUUGGCAGGGGCUUCCUUCGAUUUUCACCUGGACUUCAUAAAUUCCUCAAAUUUCCUUCUUGAUAACAGUAAUCUUGCGUUCGGAGAGAGGUGAGUCACCGUGUUUCGUCACAUCCAAAUUUACUUUUUCUUAACCGAUUUCUCCGGUCUUAUCCAACACAAACGUGGCCAUCUCUUCUCCAUUCGAUUGGUUGCUUUUAAAUCCCAUGGUUAUAUUAGAUGAGGACAGAAAUCAUGGUAUGGCACCACUGUUGUAACAUAGGUGGAUCCGUAUGUCUAGCCACCUUUUGAUUAAUUCAAAAAUAACCAUAAAAAAUAUAGAGCGACUAAUUAAUAAUAAAUAUUAAAAAAUUGUUAUGUGUUUGAGAGAUCAUGUCACCUUCCUUAAAUCAAUCAAAAUAAUUCUAAUAUAUAUAUUUUUAAUAAUAUUCAAUUUUUUUUAAUGAUAUCAAUUUUAAUUAUACUAAUAAUACCAACAAUGUAUAAUGAAAGAAAAAUUAAAUACUUUUUGUAAAAUUAUAUCAGCUAAACAUGAAAUUUACUUCAACGAUUUGACAUUUCUUACUGCGCAAAAAAUGAUUGCCUCAUGGCAAAAAAAAUAGCGAAAUUCAGUAAACCACGCAAACCCCACUAGCUGGUGAAUGGUGAUUGACUUCUUUUGGCCAAAAGAAAAGAUGACAAAGUAAGCUAUCUGUCUCCAUCAAGCAUCAUUGCUGACGCUCAUUUACAUUUAAAAAAUAGAGCAAGCCAUUGGAUAACGACAUCAUAUUCUUGGAAGUUCAGAGUGUUCCAAUGGUAUUUAAGUUACUGUUGCUUUCUGGGUUAUCUGUUUCAGAGUGUUUGCAACUGUCAGUGAUAGAAAAUGGGUGGCCAGCAGCAGCACGGAGGAACAAGACACAGCGUUGUGUUUGCCGUUAAUGGAGAAAAGUUUGAGGUCUCAAGCGUUGACCCUUCUACGACUUUGCUUGAGUUCUUGCGUUAUCACACUCGCUUUAAGAGUGUCAAGCUCGGUUGUGGUGAAGGCAAGUUCUGUUUUUAUUACUAAAUAUGUUGUGUGUAAUAUCAUUACUGUUCUGCUUUUGUGUAUAUGUAUAUGGUUUGGUCUCCUUGAUGAUGGGAGCUUUCAUCAUUUGAGCUGCUGGUUCAUUUUGUUUUGUUUGAGCUUCUCUAUUAUGGUACUUUUACUUUCUUCAAUCCUCUCCAAGUUUGGUUUUUAAUUUGGCUUUAAUAGCUGGCUUUUCACCUUUUUGUUGGUUUUCUAGUUGUCUUAAUAUAUCAUGAAUUUCAGUAGUGGGAAAUGGGUUGUUUACAGGAUUCUUCUGCAGUAUACUGAAAAAGAAAGCUUAAUUAAGUUUCUAGGACAAAAAACAAAUUAAUUUGUGGAACUUUCCUAUUGAAUUUCUUGGCCACCAAAGAGAGGAUUCAGGAGGGUGUUUUAAUAAUGUAAGCGUUUUCAUAUUCUACUUAUGUCCAAGUAUGUAUCAUCUAAGUGUUUGUUGUUUGUGGUCUUUGUUUUGUAAUUGCAGGUGGCUGUGGCGCAUGCGUUGUCCUACUGUCUAAAUAUAACCCUGAGCUUGACCAACUUGAGGAUUUUACAAUAAGUUCAUGCCUCACUCUGCUUUGUAGUGUGAAUGGAUGUUUGAUUACCACUAGCGAAGGUCUUGGAAAUAGCAAGACAGGAUUCCACCCAAUUCACCAAAGGUUUGCUGGCUUCCAUGCUUCUCAGUGUGGGUUUUGUACUCCUGGGAUGUGUAUGUCGCUGUUUUCAGCUCUUGUUGAUGCUGAAAAAACCCAUCGGCCAGAGCCCCUACCAGGGUUGUCCAAAUUGACAAUUUCAGAAGCAGAGAAGGCUAUUGCUGGGAAUCUCUGUCGCUGUACGGGCUAUCGACCCAUUGCUGAUGCCUGUAAAAGUUUUGCGGCUGAUGUUGAUAUCGAGGAUUUGGGGAUUAACUCUUUUUGGGCGAAAGGGGAGAGUAAAGAAGUCAAGAUUAGUAGAUUGCCUCCAUAUAAACAUAAUGGUGAGUUAUGUAGAUUUCCACUGUUUCUGAAGAAGGAAAAUUCCUCUGCAAUGCUUUUGGAUGUAAAAGGAAGUUGGCACAGUCCUAUUAGUGUUCAGGAACUUCGAAAUGUGCUUGAGUCUGUUGAGGGUAGUAAUCAGAUCUCAAGUAAAUUAGUUGCAGGUAAUACUGGAAUGGGUUACUAUAAGGAAGUAGAGCAUUAUGAUAAAUACAUUGAUAUAAGGUACAUACCUGAGCUAUCAGUGAUUAGGAGGGAUCAGACAGGAAUCGAAAUUGGAGCAACAGUGACAAUCUCCAAAGCUAUUGAAGCUUUGAAGGAAGAAACCAAAGAAUUUCACUCUGAAGCUUUGAUGGUGUUCAAAAAGAUCGCUGGACACAUGGAAAAGAUUGCUUCAAGAUUCAUUAGAAAUUCUGCCAGUGUAGGUGGAAAUUUGGUUAUGGCACAGAGAAAACACUUUCCCUCAGAUGUUGCUACAAUACUUCUUGGGGCGGGUGCAAUGGUUAAUAUAAUGACAGGUCAAAAGUGUGAAAAGCUUAUGCUUGAGGAAUUUUUGGAAAGGCCUCCAUUGGACUCUAGAAGUGUACUCUUAAGUGUAGAAAUACCAUGUUGGGAUUUAACUAGAAAUGUUACUUCUGAAACCAAUAGUGUGUUACUGUUUGAAACGUACCGAGCUGCACCACGACCCCUUGGAAAUGCAUUGCCCCAUUUAAAUGCUGCUUUCUUGGCUGAAGUUUCUCCCUGUAAAACUGGUGACGGAAUUAGGGUAAAUAACUGUCGGUUGGCUUUUGGUGCUUUCGGGACAAAACAUGCAAUUAGAGCAAGGAGGGUUGAGGAAUUUUUAACGGGAAAAGUGCUUAAUUUUGGUGUUCUGUACGAAGCUAUAAAAUUACUUAGAGACUCUGUAGUACCUGAAGAUGGUACUUCAAUACCUGCUUAUAGAUCAAGCUUGGCUGUUGGUUUUCUUUAUGAGUUCUUUGGCUCGUUAACUGAAAUGAAAAACGGAAUUUCUAGGGAUUGGUUGUGUGGAUAUAGCAACAAUGUCUCGUUGAAGGAUUCACAUGUACAACAGAAUCACAAACAGUUUGAUGAAAGUAAGGUCCCAACCUUGUUAUCAUCUGCCGAACAGGUUGUGCAGUUAAGUAGAGAAUAUUAUCCAGUUGGUGAGCCGAUUACAAAGUCUGGGGCUGCUUUACAAGCUUCUGGUUAGUAACAUCUUCAUUGUUAAUGAAUGAAAACAAAAGUAUGGAUUACUUGAAUGUUAAAAUCUUAUGUUAAUUCAGGGGCAUCUAUCUGCUGUUAUUAAAAUCCUGAAUAUUGACUGCAGUAACUUACUAGCUUUCGACAUGACCAGUUUCUUAAAAGGCAUAAUAAUGAAUAAAUCAAAGUUUCAGUUAUAUCUCUUUAAUCAAUGUGAUAUUUGAGUUGGUGAAAAUAUCAUAUCUGUCUCGCCUUUUUGUUUAUGUUUGUGAGUUAAUUGCUGGAAAGACAACAGUUGUUAGGGGUGAUAUCAAUUUGACCACUUUGAUGGGUCUCUGAUUAUUAUCCAUCUACAGCUAGAUACCUUGGAUUCAAAAAGGUUGGCAUGUUUUUAAUUGUUCUUGAGGACUCUUACAGUUUUACUAUUGAUUGGAUUUUCUUCAUUUUUUGUCAAUUAUGAGCCAAUGAUGUCUGGUGAUUGCAUAGCAAUUGACUUCUUUAUUGUUUUUUACUGAUGUUAGUGUUGGAUGGAUUUUCUUCAAAUCCUAAUUGUUAAAGGCACCUUUUGUUUAAACUUUCAGCCACUUAUUUUUAUUGAUUUACUACUCGAAUCUCUCUACAAUCAGUAGAAAGAGUGUGCUCAUCAUGCAACUUUCGUAGGUGAGGCAAUUUAUGUGGAUGAUAUCCCUUCUCCAAUAAAUUGCCUUUAUGGAGCAUUUAUUUAUAGCACAAAGCCUUUGGCUCGGAUAAAGGGCAUAGAAUUCAAGUCUGAAUCAGUGCCAGAUGUAGUCACUGCACUUCUAUCUUAUAAAGACAUUCCAGAAGGGGGGCAGAAUAUAGGUUCUAAAACCAUUUUUGGUUCUGAACCUUUGUUUGCAGAUGAGCUUACUCGUUGUGCUGGUCAGCCUGUUGCCUUUGUGGUAAUUUAUGACUUACUUCAGACUUGUUUAGUGCACUCAGUAGAAAACUGCAUUAGUUUCCUUUACAGGGAUUUUGUGUUUAAUACUUUAAUUUAAUGCAUUAUAUGACUGUUUAGGUUGCAGAUUCACAGAAAAAUGCAGAUAGGGCGGCAGAUGUUGCUGUGGUUGAUUAUGAAAUGGGAAACCUAGAACCCCCCAUACUAUCUGUAGAAGAAGCCGUUGACAGAUCUAGCCUUUUUGAGGUCCCUUCUUUCUUAUACCCCAAACCAGUUGGUGACAUAUCGAAAGGAAUGAAUGAAGCAGAUCAUAGAAUUCUUGCUGCUGAGGUGAUUUCAUUUACUUCUGCUUCCUAUGCCGCCUUCUCUGUUAAAAUACUGACAAACCCAAUUUUAUUUCUUUGCUGAACGUUGACAUUGUUAUAUUUACAUAGCAUUUCUGUAAAGUCAUCCAUUAAGUAUUCUUGUGCAAGUUCGCCCUCAUGUAUUUACUAAAUUGUUACAUCCAGAUUAAACUUGGGUCACAAUAUUAUUUUUACAUGGAGACGCAAACUGCCCUUGCUGUGCCAGAUGAAGACAACUGUUUGGUGGUUUACAGUUCAAUUCAAUGCCCUGAGUCUGCGCAUGCUACAAUUGCUAGAUGUCUCGGUAUUCCUGAACAUAAUGUUCGUGUGAUUACAAGAAGGGUAGGGGGAGCUUUUGGUGGAAAGGCUAUAAAAGCCAUGCCUGUGAGUAUCUCUCACAUGUAAACUUUUAUUUUAAAUAGGUUGAGUGAAAUCCUUGUUGAGGCAUAUGUGGUUGUGCUGAUUUACUGGUCUUAGACUAGUCUUAAACUAAAAAGGAAGAUGCAGAAAAGUUUAAUCAGUUCUUUUAUCAUUUUCAUUUUUUCUUUUCUUCAGAAGAAAAGAUAAAAUAAAAGAAAUUAUACAUGCACUAACCAGACAUUUAAUUAAUAUAGUUUACGGCUUCGUAAAUUAAUUUCUUAUGUUGUUUUUAUCGUAGUUUAAUAUCGUUGGUGCCACUAUAGAACUGCUUACAGUGUACCGUUAUUAGGUUGCUACAGCUUGUGCACUUGCUGCAUACAAAUUAUGCCGCCCGGUCAGGAUUUAUGUCAAGCGCAAAACUGAUAUGAUAAUGGUAGGAGGAAGGCAUCCGAUGAAAAUAACAUACAGUGUAGGAUUCAAAUCCAACGGGAAGAUAACAGCCCUGCAACUUAACAUCUUAAUCGAUGCAGGAUUGUCUCCAGAUGUAAGCCCAAUUAUGCCAUCAAACAUGAUCGGUGCACUUAAAAAGUAUGACUGGGGUGCCUUACAUUUUGAUAUAAAGGUAUGCCGGACAAACCUUCCAAGUAGAUCAGCAAUGCGAGCCCCUGGGGAGGUACAGGGGUCAUUCAUUGCUGAAGCUGUAAUUGAACAUGUAGCGUCUACCCUUUCAAUGGAAGUGGAUUUUGUCAGAAAUAUCAACCUCCAUACACACAAAAGCCUUAAUUUGUUUUAUGAGAGUAGUGCCGGUGAAUAUGCGGAGUAUACACUACCUUUAAUAUGGGAUAAAUUGGCCGUUUCCUCAAGCUUCAACCAAAGAACUGAAAUGAUAAAGGAGUUUAACAGGUCUAAUUUAUGGAGAAAAAAGGGCGUUUGUCGCUUACCUAUUGUGCAUGAAGUGACACUUAGGUCAACCCCUG
rnacentral:lncRNA from 1 species